AGAACGAGACCUGCGAAAGAGGGCGAGAUAUUUGAAGAAAUGUAAGGACGCGUUAUGGCAACGAUGGAAACGAGAAUACAUGAGAGCACUUCGCGAAAGGCAUAAUUUAACACAUGACGGGAAAGAGAGAGAGCUACGAAAGGGUGAUGUUAUGUUAAUCAAAGGUGAUGAAAAGAAUCGUAGACUGUGGAAAAUUGGGAUUGUUGAACAACUUAUACCCGGAAGAGACGGAGUGGUUCGUGGAGUUAGACUACGUGCAGGAAAAUCAUUCAUGGAAAGACCAAUACAAUUUCUUUACCCUUUGGAAUUGCAUUGUGAUAGAGAAAGUAAUCAAGAAACUGUUCCAUUGAAUCCUGUUGCAAAGGAGUUCAAACCGAAGCGUAGAGCGGCUGUCGAUGCAAGGAAGAACAUUGAACUAAUUUAUGAUCAGGAAGAGGAAGAACUGUGAUGGGUAGAGACGGUGAAUACGUGUAGACGUUCGUGUGUAUAUAAGACAGAUAAGUUAUAUUUAAAACUUACGUUCUAAAUAGGGGGAGUGUGUCGGGAAAAAGGUUGACAUUAAUAAUUAGUAGUUAAAUUUAGAGAUGAGGUGACUGCCAUAUAUGGAAAUUGAUUGACAGGCAUGAGAUAAAAGGAAUGUUGUUAAUUGUUAUUGCAUGGGGAAUAUAUGUAACUGGGAGCGAUUUGGGAAGGGAUUAUAAUACAAAACAAAAGAAAAACGCGUAAUUUUGCUCUUAUUGUG